rnacentral:lncRNA from 1 species
AAAAAUAAGAAUCCAACUAAUUUUUAAUUUAAUAUGCCGUUAAUCGAGUAAACUCCUCGUAUUUAUAAAACCCGAAAAUCCGAACUCGAAACAAUUAUUUUUCUUUACAAUAUUUCAAAACAUAUUAUAUUAAGUCUAAAUUUCAAAAUACAAAUUCAAAUAUAACAUCAAACAUUUCUAUAUAUAUUAUAUAUAAUGUAAAAUAAUUUUAGGUUCAGAUCGUGUUCGGGUUCGGGUUGGUGUACAUUCAAAAUCUAUACCGGAAUUCAAAUCCGUCGGGUUUUCGUUUUUGAUAUCCACAUCCGAAGCUAUAUCUGUUUAGUAUCAAGUAAAUCCACUCUGUUUGGAUUCGGAUUAGGAUAAAAUUUUGGGUAUCUGUAUCGAUUGACAUCCCUACUCAUGGGCUGAACGUUCAGGGACUAGCAGUGCAAUUAACCCCCGAAAAAUUUAUAUUUGUAUUAAUAGGAGGCCCAUGUACGAAUAUCGCAUUUCGGCCCAUGGGCCGUGUCCGUAAUGUCUUUAUUAAGACCCAAAGAAAAAGAAAUUCUACACCAUAAACUAUGCAUUAAUUCAAAUACCACCCCUAUGGUUUCGCACUUUCUCACUUCAGUAUCAUGUAAUUUAAAGUAUAUCAAUUUAGUACCAUGUGAUUUUAUUUUUCUCUUUUUAUUAUCCAUUCUACUAAUUUUUUUGGUUACAUCAGUGACAAACUUGAAAUUAAAGGAUACUAAAGUGAUAUUCGAUAAAUUUAGGUGCAAUAUCUGAAGUUUUUUGUAUAUAAUUUAGCAAAAUAUUAACGGAGUAACUGACGAAAAGAGAAAAACUUAAUACACUGUAAAUUAUGUGGUACUAAAGUGACAAAAUGCGAAAUCAGAGAGGUGGUAUUUGAAGUUCACCCUUAAUUGAAGUAUCUUGUUAUCUACACUAUAAUUUAAUAAAAAUAAAAGAAAAAAUGAGACACCAAUAGUAUAGGGGGCUCUCAUCAAGUAAUUUAUGAUGCAUAUGCACAAAAUACAUAAAUAAAAAAUAAAAUAUUGCGCAAUUUAAAAAUUUGUUCAGUUUACAAAUUUAAAUGAAUCAAGGAUCAUAAACAUUAACAAUAUAUAUAUAUAUUUUUUUGGUGGUCCUGAUUUAUUUAUUCUUCUUAAAUCAUAAUUAGUAUAUUUAUUUAUAUAUUAAUUAAUCAUUAAGUACGGUUCACAAUAAUUAAGCUAACAUUUGUAUCAUUAUUCCUCUCUCUCGAUAGAAGGGGAGCAUGCUCUCGGUGGUACCCGGACGGUGGAGAUUCAAAUAGGGAGCGUGAUGAACGGUUCAGAUGGGUGGUUUUCCGAAUGACGUGGUGCACGAGGUUCGUAGUAUAUUUGUACCUUUCUCUCUCUCGUAUUUAUGAUUUUGAAUUCGUUUCUGUCUCCGUGGACCACGCUCUCGGCUUUUUGUCGAUUCGCGAGGAGAGAUUCCUUCACUCUGUGCACCAAAACCCUAACCCUAGAUUCCCUUUCGUCCUCCUCCUCCUCCUCCUCGUUGCUCCAAAACCCUAACGCUAACCCUAGCCCUAGCCCUAGCCCUAGCCCUAGAUCCUUGAUGAGCCCUAUCUGGAGCCAUGCACAAGCUCUGGCGCGGAAGCUCGAGCCUCGGCAACCCCGCCGCCGCGUGGAUUGACGCGAAGGUCCCGCUCCUCCGCCUCCUCCCUCCGCUUCUCCUCCCCCACCUCCCCACUUCCGCCGCUCCGCGCCCCCCAAAACCCUAACCCCCUCCUCCGUCGCGCCUUCCUCGCCGGGGCGCCCCGCCGCCCCCCGUCGCCGGUCUCCUCCUGGCUCCCCGGCAGCGACCGGAGGGGCUUCGCGGCGGCCGAAGCUGCUAGAAACCGCGAGAAAGUCGGGAGCUUGGGGAAGGACGAUGGGGCAGCGCAGGAGGAGGAGGGAGAAGAGGAGGAGGAGAAGAGAAGUAGAGCACCACCACAGAGAGUGGCGGAGAGGAGGCAGAGAGGGGGCGGAGGGGUGAGCGCUCCGCCGGUGGGGAGCCUCGAGCUCUUGGCGAUUCCCGGCGUCGGCCCUCGGAAUCUGCAGAAGCUGGUGGAUAAGGGGUUUCAAGGCGUGGCCCAGCUCAAACAGCUUUAUAGGGACAAGGUAAAUGGAUUUAUAUGCAUUUAGAUUAUCGAAUUUAAUGUUUAACACAAUUUGGGUUGUUCUGUUCGGUUUGCUUGCAGUUCUGUGUUUAUAAUUUGUAAAAUAUGUAACUUCUUAUUGGAUUAAUCUGUAUCACUUGUGGAAUGUAUUGAAUUAGAUUCGCCUCUUCAUAGAUAAAGCUCCGUAUACGGGAACUAGAUCAAUGUGAUUGCAAUACUUUGUGUUAUUUGAAUGGGCAAUUACUCCAAGCAUAGUAUCAUCUUAUUAGCUAUUAGUAUAUGAAAUCUGUUUGUUCAAAGCAUUUCGUACUUACAUCGUAUUGUUCGUCAUUUGAAAUCCUUGAAAUGGACAAUUUGCAAGUAGGCUUUCUUUUGUAUGAUAUACUCUUGCAUUAUGGUUCUUGCAUUAUAAUGUCUUUCUUUUAUUUGUGAGAGGAUUGUAGUUCUUUGGUGAGUCCAGCGAGAAGAUGGUCGAAUACUUAAAGAGUUCGGUAGGUAUUAUCCAUAAGAACCACGCCGAGAGUAUAACCACCUUCAUCAAAGAAAGCGUGGAUAAGGAGCUGAGAGAGGAGGACACUCAAUCUGAUUCGAAGCUCUCGCGGAAGAAAAGGCUCACAUUUUGUGUUGAAGGGAAUAUUAGUGUCGGAAAGACAACCUUUCUUCAAAGGAUAGCUAACGAGACCCUCGAACUCCGUGAUCUUGUAGAAAUAGUACCGGAGCCUAUUGCCAAGUGGCAAGACGUGGGCCCGGACCACUUCAAUAUAUUGGAUGCAUUUUAUGCUGAGCCGCAGAGGUAUGCCUACACUUUCCAGAAUUACGUGUUCGUGACGAGGGUCAUGCAGGAAAGGGAAUCGGCUGGUGGAGUAAAGCCUCUCAGGCUGAUGGAACGAAGUGUUUUCAGCGAUAGAAUGGUAGGAUCAUUUUUUAGAUUAUAAAUUUAUAGUUAUAACUUAUUUACAGUUGUUUUUUAUCCAUAUGUUGAUAAAUACUUUUCAGGAAUUUACAUAUGAUGUGCAAAAUACUUUUAGGAAUUUAUAUAUAGGAAGCAAAGUAGAUGCACAUCCUGUAUGAAAUGUGUAUCAUAUUUGCCUACACGCUUUUUCGCAUUGGCACAGUAAAUGAUGUUACUUAACCAGGUUUAGCCACAUUUAGGUCUAACUGGAGACUGUAAUGAGAAAUCUUCUGUUAGGAAGUGGCAUUUUUCUCUGAGGGGUAUUUGCAAUUUUAUUCUGAACAUUUAAAGGGUAUUGUUGCAAAAAAAAAAGAAGAAAAGAUAUAGACUUUCUGAUAUUCUUUUACGGAUAGUUUGACCGCAGGGGCAUAAUUAUAUAUGUUGGCUAUUUUAAAGGGCAUAUGCAGAAAUACCAAACUUUGAGCGCCAAAUGCGCAAAUGCAGAUUUUUUUUAAUGCUGUAUGUUUAUGCAAAAAUCCAGUACUUCGAUAUUUGACUCUAGCCAUCUAUUGUGCUGCACAAUAGGUAUUUGUCCGUGCUGUUUAUGAAGCUAAUUGGAUGAAUGAGAUGGAAAUUAGCAUUUACGACUCAUGGUUCGACCCUGUUGUGUCUUGUCUUCCGGGCCUUAUACCUGAUGGAUUCAUUUAUCUGAGGGCUAGCCCUGAUACUUGCCACAAGAGGAUGAUGCUUCGUAAGAGAGCAGAAGAAGGUGGCGUCUCAUUGGACUACUUGCGCGGCUUGCAUGAGAAACACGAGAGCUGGCUAUUUCCCACUAAACGUGGAAAUCAUGGUGUAUUGUCAGUUAGUCAGUUGCCCCUUCAUAUGGAUAACUCCUUACAUCCUGAUAUAAGAGAUCGUGUAUUUUACUUAGAAGGAGACCAUAUGCAUUCAAGUAUCCAAAAGGUAAUAUUGGCAUGCUCAUCUUCUUCUAGGAUCUUUAAUGUGCAUUUGCCUUAAGGUUAGGGUUGAAGCUCUUUUAUUUGUGCUUAGGUUCCUGCUUUGGUGCUGGAUUGUGAACCCAAUAUUGAUUUCAGCAAAGAUGUUGAAGCGAAAAGGGAGUAAGUUUUUGCUUCUCAUGAACACAAUGUGCAAACUUGAUAAAUAGUAUUAUGUGCUAUCUUGAUUUUGCUCCUUAUUUUAGCCAAGCAUUUUCAUCACACUUUAGGGCAAGCUUAAUAAGUACAAAUUUACUCGGGGAGAUCGUAGAUCAAGAUAUAUGUAAUGAUUCUAGUAUAAAGGUUAUGUAAGUGACAAGCAUGAUACGUGGCAGAUUUUCCAUAAUGGAGUCAUUUUCUGUGUCCGAUCUUGCAUGCCGUAUAGCUUGGUGUUGCUCACUUUUGAUUGAUUAACGGCAAUCAAUCUGAAAAUCUCGUUAUUUUUUCACAUUUAGGGGUUCAUCGUUACCCCAUCCAUGAGAGUUAAUGCUCUAUAUAUGUACUCGUCAUUUGUACUGCACUCCACAAGGUAUUCCUAGUAAUUCUUUGUUUCCACUGUAUCAGCCAAAAGAUCCGAGCCAGCUCUGCUUCUUGAUUGGUCUAUUCAUGUACAGAACAUUCACAUUUCACUCGUUCUUCUUAUGAAGCAGAAUUUUAUAUAUGAUUUUGUCACGCUUUCAUUUCCUCAUCAUCUUCUCUUUUGCUGAAUAAUUCCUCUCUUUCUCUCUCUCUCUCUCUCUUCCAUUCAAGGUAUGCUCGCCAAGUUGCAGAGUUCUUCGAGUUUGUGAAGAAAAGGAAGGAAGCUUCAACCGAAGAAAGUGCUUCUGACGGAAAAGCUAAAGGCCAACAAAUAGUGCUUCCUAACAGCAGUGGUUUGUGGGUACCAGAUCACAAUCACUUUCCUGAAUCUGCCCUAAAAUCUCUGGAUUUCAGACGAGCCAUGUCUUUCCUUUCCGGUUAGCAACCAUUUCGUCCCCGCCUGGAAUCGAGGUGAAGCAUCUGUCAAUUACAUGAAUUUGUCUUGUUGCAACUUAGCCUGUUAGCCGUCUCCAGUUUCAUCCAUCGAGAGCUAAUUUUAGCUCGUCGAUGUGAAGCUUGGUAUGAUGGAAUUGCUGCUAACUCUGUAAAUGUGUCUGAUCUUUAGUUUGUAUGUACAUGUUCCGGUAGCUGUGUGAUAGUUCUUCUAACGGUCGAAAUGUGUUGGAAAUGGCCCUCUUUGUAACGUCGACUUACUAUUUCGUAUCGUUAAAUGGGUAAUGAUCUUUGUUCCCCUGCUUGACAUUCAAGCACUUGGCAGAUAGGUCCCUUGACAUUUUACUAUUCGUCGUUUAAGCCUCAUUCGUAACUGAAACAUUGCGAGUGAGUUUACAAGUUUCUUUUACUAAUACAUGGUGUUUUCAUCAACUUGUCCUCGCCUCGCGUUGUACAAAAUUUUUGUAACAUCAGGACAAAAUAGCCGUAGAUGUACGAAUGUCGGGACGGAAAAUCGGUAAUUGCUCAAAUGUUAGGGUGUUUGUUUUGCACUGGGGGCUUGAGAAUCAUCAGGUUUUUGAUAUUCAGGUACUGUUGUCAGAAUAAAAUUAGGGUUUUGUCACAAUUUUACCUCAACAAAUUGAGCUCUCUGUUUUGUGUGCGUGUGUGUGCGUGUGUGUGUGUGUGUGGGUGUGGGUGUGGGUGUGGGUGUGUGUUGUUCCAUUGUGUGAAUGUGUUAAUAGGCCAAAUUGGUCGGGCCCAGGGUGUUACUUCACUGAUGGGGAAUAUUAUAUUAUAUAAAAUAAAAUUUUUUAAAAAAAACUUGUCACUAUGUUGGGUUGGUAAAAAUGUAUGUAACUCCCUCAAGUAUAUUCUAUUUUGAAGCAUAAUUUAAGUUUUUUGAAUUAGAAGUAUUUUGGGGCCCCUUUUUUUUUUUUUACAUUCAGACCCUUUAAUUUUUUAUUUUUUAACGCAAAUGGUUCUAGCAAAUUUAUAUUUGCAUAUAUGGUCCUCUUUUUGUCACGCGAGCAUCACGUUGGUAUUUUUAAGUAGAAGUUAAUCACCGUAUUCAUAUUCGCAUUUUAGUCUCUUUUUUAACUUAGGGACAAUAAAAAAUAUAAAAAGGAAUAUCGUGAUUUAAUUAUCGUGUUUAAAUACGGUGAUUGAAUUACUGUGUUUAACUUAAAAACACUACCUAAGCACUCUCGUGGCGAGGAGAGAGUAAUUUAUACAAACAUAAAUUUGUUAGGAUCCUUUGUCAAAAAAUAAAAAAAAUUAGGGGGCUAAAUAUUAAAAAGCCCUACUUUAUAUAUUAUGUAUAUCAAUAUAUAAACUUCAAAUAGCAUCUCUAUGGUUUUACGCUUACUCACUUUAGUAUCAUGUGAUAUAAAAUGUAUUACUUUAGUAUACUAUAGUUUUUUUUUUUUCUUUUCGUUAUCCCCUCCAUUAAUUUUUCUGCUAAAUCAGUGACAAAAUUAAAAUCACAGAGUACUAAAAUAAAAAUUCGGUAGACUAUAGAAUACUAAAAUGAAUAUUCAAUAAAUUAUACUGGAAUAUCUAAAAAUUUUUGUAUAUGAUUUAAUAGAGAGUUAAUAAAAGUGCUGACGGAAAGAAAAAAAUAAAACCACGAAAUAUUAAAAUGAUAUAUUUUAAACCAUAAAUACUAAAAUAAAAAAAUACAAAACUAUAGGGUGGUAUCCAAAGUUUACCCUUAAAAAAUCUCUACCCCAAAAUAGGGGUAUUAAACCACCGGUGCACUUAACUGAGCAUUCAUGUAUCAUUAUUAAUCUAGUUGGUCCAUGGUGACGUGGCAAACCUGGUCUAUGCCAAAAAUAAAUUUCUCCAACUAGGUCCAUGGUGGCAUGGUGAACCUGGUCUACCCAGUAGUGAUAAUCCCACUACUGUAUAUAACACUUUAAUAUAAAGACAUAAAAACAGGUGGUUUACCAAGUCAACGUGGAUUGCGCGUAAACGUCACAAUCAUAUGACCAUGUAACUUGAAAACAACUUUUUUUUUAAAAAAAAACAUUAAUUAUGUAUUCCCCUAAUAAUUUUUAAAUUACGAAUUUAUUCGCAUAAAAUUUUAAUUAUUAGUUACAUUUCUCUAAAAUAUUUUUUAAAAAAUAUUUUAGUAUUUAUAAUUUAUUUAUUUUAAAAUGAAAUAAUUAUUUUCUAGAAUUUUUUUAAAAAAUUUUUAAUUGUGGAUUACUAUGCAAUAUAGGGGAGCUAUAUUUAAUAACUAAUAUUUUGUACGAAUAAAUAUACAAUUGCAAUGCUAUAUAGUAAUAUAGGGGUACAAUCAUACAAAUUCAAUUAACUUUUUUUUUUCAUUUUAAAAUAAAUAAAAUUUAAUUAAAAAAUUUUUAAUUGUGGAUUACUAUGCAAUAUAGGGGAGCUAUAUUUAAUAACUAAUAUUUUGUACGAAUAAAUAUACAAUUGCAAUGCUAUAUAGUAAUAUAGGGGUACAAUCAUACAAAUUCAAUUAACUUUUUUUUUUCAUUUUUUUUUAGGGAAACUUCAAGUAACCCCUGUGGUUUCGCAUUUUCUCACUUUAGUACCAUGUAAUUUAAAGUGUAUCAAGUUAGUACCCUGUGAUUUCACACUUUCUCACUUUAGUACACUGUGGUUUCAAGUGUAUCAAGUUAGUACCCUAUGGUUUCACACUUUCUCACUUUAGUACCCGAAUUAGGCUGGAAUACUAUUAAUAGCACCAAUGACUUGGUGCUAUUAAGUUUUCUGCCAUUUGAUUAAAAAAUGUACGAUUAGGAUGAUAUGGGCCGCCCUAGGGUUGAGUGGGUGGUUAGUUGAAUAGUAUAAUCGAACAAAUGAAAAUGAUAAAAGAGGUAAAUCUAACGGCAGAAAACUUAAUAGCAUCAAAUGUUCCGUGCUAUCGAUAGUAUCCUAGUCGGACUCUUAGUAUCCUGUGGUUUAAUAUUUCGUUCAAUUACAUAUCCCGAAAUAGAUAAUAAAAAUAAAAAAUUGAAACUACAGAGUACUAAUUUAAUACAAAAAUAAAAUCACAUAAUACUAACUUGAUAUAUUUGAAAUCACAGAAAAGUAAAAUAAGAAAAUACGACACAUAGGCUUUUUUUUCUCACUAUUUAUGGACAAAAAGUAGGUUUCAAGAUCUAUCAAAUCACACCCAUAAACCAUGCCGAAAAUUUGUCUUUAAAUAUUGAUUUUUUAAAAUGAUGAUGUGGACUUUUUUGAAUUAAUAAUUUCGUGUGGCUCCAAAUUUGUUUGACUACAAAUGUGUGUUUAGGUGACCAUCACUCUCCCAUUCUCUAUUUUGGCAUUUUUGGGAAGAUUUUUUUUAUAUUUUGCCUCAAAUAAUAAUAUAAAAAUAAAUAAAUAAAUAGAUAUUUUUGAAUUUUUAAAUUUUAUUCUAUUUGUUAGUUGAACGGUUAAUUUUGACUUUUUCUAACUAAAAUGAUCAUUUACUCGCACAAAAAUACUUAUAAAUAUCUCUAUUCUAUGGCUUAAGAUUUUUUUCUUUUUCUGUUUCGAAUAUAUAUGUAUUAUUAUGUCAUUUCGAAUAAUAUAAUUUUGUAGUAUAUUUUUAUAUCAUUUAAACACAUGAAAUAUUCAAAAACAUAUAUAGAUGCAUUAUUUGAAGCUAGAAUAUUAAAAAAAAUGAAAACAAUUUAUAAAAUAAGAAUCAAUAAAAGUAAAAAAAAGUACCAUAUAAAAUUUUAAAGAGUAAAUUUUGGAAUGGCCCACAUUUUUCACCUUUUGAUUCGCGGUCAAAAAAGUUAAAGAAAAAGGGAAAAAAAAAGAAAAAAAAAAAAGACAAUCCCUGGAUUGGAAUAGUGUGACCAUGUGACAUUGUCCUUAUUAUUUAUUUAUUUUCUUCUUUUGGAAUAUUUAUUUGAUUGGUUUAUUUUUAAUUCUAUAAUUAAGAUAUUUUUUUAAAUUGCUAUCACGCUCUAAUUUAGCUGACUAAAAAUUAAAAAAAAUAAAAAAUUAAACUUCAAAUAUCAUUUUUAUAGUUUCAUAUUUUUUUAUUUUAGUAUUAUAUGGUUUAAAGUGUAUCACUUUAGUAUCUAAUAGUUUUAUUUUUCUUUUUUCAUCCGCGCUUCCAUUAACUUUUCGAUAAAUCAUAUGCAAAAAAUUUCAGAUACCCCACCUAUGAUUUAUUAAAUAUUCACUUUAGUAUCCUACGAUUUACCGAAUUUUUACUUUAGUACCAUAUAGUUUUAAUUUUAUCACUGAUUUAACAAAAAAAUUAAUAAAAAAGAUAACGAAAAGAAAAAAGAAUAAAAUCACAGAAUAUGAAAGUUUGAAUUAAUUUGGUUGCGCGUAAAUAAAUUUUGAAUUAAAAUUUAUAUUUGUUUUACGUCGUUGUUUUCUAUAUAAAGAGUUAAAUAAUUUCAUAGCUAAAAUUUUUUGUUUAAAACUGCAACAGUCAUUUAAACUAGUAUUUGAAGGCAUUUGAGUCUUCAAGAAAAUUAUAAAAGUCAUUGUUUUUUUUAUCAGAAUCAUUAUUAUUUAGUUUAAAAAUCCGAAAAAUUUCUAAAAAAUUUGAAGUUACCUCAAAUUUGUUUCUCUGUCAAUGACAUGUUUAUUUGAUAGGAAGUUAAUGAUCCACAAGUAAAGUUUAUUCAACCAAACAAUACACUACAACAAAAAUGAUCUAUAGCGACACUUUUAAAUGUCGGUAUAGGUCAAAAAAAAUACUGCUGGCUAAAUUACCGACACUUUUAAAAAGUGUUGCUAUAUGUGGGGUCGCUAGGUAUAUAGUGAUAGUUAAAGAGUGUCAGUAUAAUCUAAAAAGAGUGCUGCUAAUUUACUAACACUUAUUUAAGUAUUUAGUAACCGCUGGAACUCUACCUUGUUGGUUGCGGUGGCGAAGAAUGAGGAGAGGGAAGGGCUCUUCGUCUAGAAUUUCAGUGGACUAAGGGAGAGGAAAAAAGGAGAUGGUAAUUAAUUUUUCUUUUUUUUUUUUUCUUUUCUGUUUGUAAUCGGAUUGAAUGGGCUGGGUAGGGUGGGUUGAGUAGAGUAACCUUUUAUUUUUUUUUGAAUUGGGCUUUAUAUUUAGGCAUUAGUAGAUUUUUUUUUAUAUUUUGACAUAAAUGGAACACUUACACAAAAGUGUUUCAAACAUGUGUCGCUAUAAUCUAAUUCUGUUGUAGUUACAUACAAUAAAAAUUAAUCAUUAAAAUUAAAUACAAUAUUAAAAUUAUUAAUUAAUUGUCUCGUAUUUUUUUAAUAUGAUAUUUGAGGUUCUAAGUUCGAUUCCGUCAAAAAAAAUAGCUUGAGUUUUUAAAUUCAAACUAAAUGUCUCGGAUAUACCGAAAUGCCGUGCCUAGAUUUGAGCUUUUAAUUCACAUUAUUAUUUAACAUAUUUGGAUCCUAAUAUUUAUUAUGAAACAAAUAAAUUAGGUCAUUUUAUUUUAUUACUAUUAUUAUGUUUCAUUUUGAUUUUUAUUGUGAACUAUAUAUGUAAUGCAUCAUAUAUAUUAUUAUUAUUAUUAUUAUAAUUGCUAAUAGUUGGUCUUUGUCUCAGUUUUUAAGCACUUGGAGAGAGAAAUUAAGUUUAGAGAGAGAAUAAGAGAGUGCAAAAACUAUACCACAUAACUACCCAAUUUUUCUUAAAAUGGAUAUAAGAUUAGAUUUAUUUUAGGAAAAACUUCAAAAACCUCCCUUGUGGUUUCACAUUUUCUCACUUUAAUACCUUGCGGUUUAAAGUGUAUCAAGUUAGUAUCCUGUGGUUUCGCACUUUCUCACUUUAGUACCCUGUGGUUUAAAGUGUAUCAAGUUAGUACCAUGUAGUUUCGCACUUUCUCACUUUAGUACCCUGUGGUUUAAUACUUCAUUCGGAAAAAAAUAAAACCACAGAGUACUAACUUGAUAGAAAAAUAAAAUCACAGGAUACUAACUUGAUACAAAAAUAAAACCACAGAGUACUAACUUGAUACACUUGAAAUCACAGAGUACUAAAGUUAGAAAGUGCGAAACCAUAUGGUACUAACUUGAUACACUUUAAACCACCAGAUACUAAAAUGAAAAAGUGCGAAACUACAAGGGGGUUUUUGAAGUUUUUCCUUUAUUUUAAUUUGGUGAUUUAUGUAUCUAUGAAGGUCCCCUCAGCUACAGGCUAAUUUCAAAUAAUAAUUUGAUAAAUAUUAAUUGGUGUUAAAGUGAUCAAUGGUAUACUAACUUAAAUAAACAACAUCAGAAGAAAAAUACCUCUUAUAUUGUAAGAUAUCGAAUACACAGAAUUUAUUUAAUACUUAGAGAUUUUUAAUAUAAUUAGAGGAAGCAAUGCUCGAAAAAAAAAAACAAAAAAGAAUUGUUAUUUUUUUUAUUUUUUGAAGGACUACAAAAUUAUGUCUACACCAUGUGGUAGUAAUUAUUGAAAUAAAUAGAGUAAUUUUUUUGCGAACUUGUUCAUUGCACAUAACACAGUAUGCUUGUUUCGAUAUCAAAUAAAAUUAUAAUUUAAAUUUUUUUGGCUAAAUUAUACUUGUUCGCCCUCAAACUAGAAGGCGAAUGAUAUUUUUAUUCUCAAAUUUUAAAUUAUUUUAAUUUCUGGUUUGAGCUUUUUGAAUCUUUAUAAUUAAGUACCACGACACAAUUUAGUUGAGCAAAUAUUGGUGUGUUACUAAUUUGGAACUAAUGUGGCAUUUUAGUCACUCUCGUAACAUCAAUCACGAUAUCGCCACAUCUCCUCCACAUUAAUGAUACAUUAAAUGUUUUACUGAAAGUAGAGAGAAAGUGAAAUAGUUUUCCGCCACAACUGUCUAUUUUUGUUAUUUAGUCCGUUCGUAACUUUAUUUUUGGCGGAAAUUCAAACUUUCCAAACUAAUGUACGCAAGCCGAAAUAAAUUACAAAAGAAAAAGAGAAAAGAUUAAUGAAAUAUCAACCCAUCUCUCACACCUCCGGCUUUUACAUCAUUCACUUUUCGUUAAACAAACAGCAAAACUAGGAGAACUUUAGUUGCACAGCUAAGUUUUACUCGAAGUCACUGGUUCGCCUGAAAGUAUAUUAUGAACUAAACAUCCUUUAUUUACAAUAAUUCAUAAAGUUUGGGUGAGAAAUUAUAAUAAAUUAAAGAUUGUGGGGCUAAAGUGUAAUUUGCUUGGGUAGUUAUUGGGUACCCAAAAGGAGUGAAAAUAGAGAGGUUUUGGGUUUGACCAGCUCUACUAGAGUGGGUGGACUCUUCUUUUUGUUACUCUUCGCCCCCUCCUAUAAAACGAAAUUAAAUUUUACCCCUCUAUCUCUCUCUCUCUCUAUAUAUAUAUCUCUAUUUCCUCAUCACUCUCGCUUCUUCUUCUCCAAAAUCCUCUGCGGAUGCCGUGGCGAGAUUCCGAAUCCGAGGCCCCUCAAUCUACCGAUCUUUUUCACCGAUCGCGUCGCUCGAUUUCGUCGAUCGCUCGCCCCGCUCUCGAUCGGUUUGUUUUUUGUUUUUUGUUUUCUUUUUAGCUCGCGAAUUUCUGGGGUUUUUUUUUGGGGGGGAUAAAGAUCGGAUUUUUAGGGUUUUUUUUUUGUCCUUCUUGUUUCUGCUGUUUGUUGUUGUCAAUUUGGGUUUUUAGCCUCGAUUUUGUGUUUUUAUUUGGUGUUUCUCGCUCACUCAGCUUUGGCACUCGCUCGGCUCUCGAUCGGUUCGGUUUUCUCCCUAAUUCCUCGGGUUCUUUUUUUCCCUUCUGAAAAUCGGAUGUUUAGGAUUGUUCUGCUGCGAUUUCUCUUUAUAUUUCAUGCUCUAUUUUUCUCACUCACCCAGAGCUCGAUCGGUUCGGUUUUUUCCCCAAGUUCUUUUUAUUGUACUAAAAAUACGAAUUUUAGGGUUUAACUGCUCUUAUUUCGGUUCCAAUCUGGGUUUUUGAGUUGGAUUUGAUGUACUAUUUUGUGUUUCCUCCGAAUUUGCAGGGCUUAGUUGAUGGAUUGGGGGUUUCGCGGCGAUCUGAAUUGGAUGCAGUGUUGGAAUCAUCGGUUAGAUCGGAGAAAAAGAACUGAGAUCAGCUGAGAGAGAUUUUAAGGGAAAAUGGGUGGUCUUUGUUCGAAGGGAUCCGCAGUGGAUAAAUCCCCAAGUGAUACUACACUAGAACCAAAUGGUUUUAGAAAUUCAGGUCCAAUUUCGUACCAAUCUCGGAGGAAAAAGCCCGAGGAGUCGGCGGCGGAAGCCGCCGGAAAAGUCAUGGAGAAGCAGCUUCAGGAACCAGCCUAUUCAUUCUCCGAGAGGAUGGCGGUGUCCUCGGCAAAUGCCGCCGAGUCCGACACGCCGCAGCUUUCUAGGGCUAUGUCGCAGAAAUCUGGGUCAACUAAGUCAAAAACAACGUCUUCCGCAAAGACUGGGUCUACCAAGGCAAGUCCAUCCUCGGAUUCUUCGUUUGCAUUGUACUGUACUGCAAAUGAAGUAUCUUGGCAUUGAGAAUACAGUAGUAAUUUGAUCAUUUAUGGCACUUGCUAGUUUCCAUGCGCUUAUCCCUUGCAAAAUGGGAGUUUGAAUGCAGGUUAUGAACAUUCUACUGUUGUUCAUAGAGUUGCUAUGCAUGAAGUAUUUGUGGAGUGACUUGUGAAUUUGCCGUCAUUCGUUGAGAAAUGGGAGUAUGAAUGGCAGUUUUGAGGAUUCUAGUGUAGUCCAUAGUAGUGUUAUCGUUUGAAUAAUUUAAUAUCUGUAAUUGAUGCAUGAAGCAUUUGUGGAGUGACUUGUGAAUUUGCAAUGAGAAUAGGUUGUAGUUUGAUUAUUUACGGCACUUGUUAAUUUUGAUCCACUUAGAAGUUUGAAUUGUGGUUUAUAAAAUUGUAGUGUAGUCCAUACUUCAUUGUAGUGUCAUCAUGCGUAAUUGAUGCAUGAAGUAUUGUGGAGUGACUUGUGAGUUUGUGUACUUGGUCAAGGUUUUGUGCAUUUUGGGUAAUUAAGGUGGCAUUGAUGCUAGUGAGUUAUUCCUUAUCUUUUUGGGUAGUUCGUUCUGUUUAAAUGAUCUUUCAGCAGGAUAAGAACCAGGUAAGUGUUAUGGAGACUAACCAGAAACAAGCAACUGAAAGAGUUACCUUUAGAGGUUCUUCUGAAGGAAAAUUGUGUUGAAAGUCAUUUUAGGCCUGGCAUUGUCUCCUCGAACGCCUACUAUGAAAGGCCCAACAAAGCUUAUCAAGUAGAUGAGAAGGCAUUUUUGGACUUAGGGUGAACUUAUAAUGGAAAAACGGAAUGAGACAUUAUGGGAGAUUGGCGGUCAUACAUGAGAUUCACAAUGAAGAGCAUUGACAACCACAUAGAAAAGUCUGUUCAUUAGCAAUUUCUUUCGUUUCGCUUGGCAUUGUUUUCAUUCCAAGCAAUGAAGUAUGAGCAAAUUGAUGUAAAGCAAUUGGGGCUUUGGUUUAUGCACAUUUAAGUGUGAUUAAAGAAAGGUUUUAGUUAUUGCGGGUGAAAGGGGGGAGACACGCCGCUUGAGAGAAGGGGUACUUGAAGUUGGGCAUCCUUAUGUAAAAUAAGGUUAUGGUCCUUUUUGUGACCAUAUAUAUCCUCUUUCACUUUCAUUUGCAUGGAUGUAGGAGCUACAUUGCUCUACAACUAUGCCAAUGUUACUCCCAGCAUAAAUUCAAACAUGUACCUUCAUCUAUUAGUCAGCCAAAUCUACUAUUGAUCAAAAGAAAGCUGUUGAUAUUUGCUUAAAAUGCAGUUUUUUUUUUGGGGGGGUUCUAUUAGAUUGGAAUAGAAGUUUGUGUUCGGUCUUAUUCUUUUUUGCUCUCCUUCUAUGCUCCUCUAUUCGUCUCAAUUUCAUUAUUUUCUCCCUUUAGUUCUCUUAACUCUAAUAUUAGCUUGUCCUUCCUCGUUUUACUGAUAGAAUGUGAUUUAUGACAAUUUGAGAUGCUUGUAGCCUGAUCUUGUUGACAAUAAACAGUCAUCACGAAAAUAUUGCCUCUGCAGCACGGCUGUAUGAUCAACCAAUGAAAUGUAAUGCUGAAUGAUCACGCACACAAUGCGAUCAUCCAAAUCUAAUUGCUUCAUAUGUAUCUUCAGGUGAUUGCAAAUUAUUAACAAAAAAAAGAGUAAUCCAACUAAUUAUGGCUGUUACAUAUGACUCCAUAGGGCCCAUUACUCUCUAAAUCUUUGGCUUUUAACCACAUUUGGUGAUUGGGUCUUGAGAGCAGCUAUUUUGUCUAAAAAAAAUGUUGAGUGGUGGGAAUAUCUCUUAAAGCUUUCCUCAAUGAACCACCCAGGUGGGAUCUCAACCAAGCGAUCGCUUUUUUUUAGAAAUGAUCCUAUUUGGGCUGGGAAUCCAAUUGCUCAUUACAUAUAGCCUUGAUGUUGUGAAUUUCACCUCUAUAUAGGAAAAUGGAACCAUUAAUUAUUUUUGUUUGUUAUUAUUUUUUAUUUGAUUUUUUUUUUUGUGUUGUACUGAGUGAUGUAAAUUUGUGUUUCAUUCGCGAAAAAGAACUGUAUUUCAUUGACAUGUGUUUCCCUCUAGGCAUAAGAAUUAUUGUAAGAAACCGUAUAUGUAUAUUUAAAUGACAGAAUGGAAGAUUCCAAGUUGGGACUUGACCAAUGGUGCUUACGAAUAUGGGCUUUCUUGCAUGUUUUAUGCAUUUGAAGCUUCUUAAUAUCAGUUUGUUUAGCCCUUUCUGACUACCUAUAUUAAUUGUCCCUACUACAUAUUUUUACGCUAGUGGAAUCGAAUCUCCUCUAUAAGUUAUUAAUAGUAGCUAGUUAUUGAAACAGGCUUCAGAAGUGAGUUCAAUUUUGGGCAGAGCUGGUACUGUCGGGCUCGGAAAAGCAGUCGAGGUAUUGGACACACUUGGCAGUAGCAUGACAAGUUUGAAUCUAAGUAGUGGUUUUGUAUCGGGAGUGACUACAAAGGGAAAUAAAAUAGCCAUUCUAGCUUUUGAGGUUGCCAACACUGUAGUUAAAGGUUCCAAUCUUAUGCAAUCACUUUCCAAGGAGAGCAUCAAACACCUUAAAGAAGUUGUUCUUCCCUCAGAAGGAGUGCAGAAUCUCAUUUCUAAAGAUAUGGAUGAGUUGCUCAAAAUUGCUGCUGCUGACAAAAGGUUAUAUUUACUCAGUAGUUUGUCAUGCAUUUUAACACAUCUAUUUCCUUUUCGCUACAUUACGCCCUCUUGAUAAUUUGAGAUAUUUGCGUUUAGUAUAUUUAAGAAUAUAUCCUACAAAAAUCUGGCUUUUCAUGUUUUUGUCUCAAUCAUUUAUUUCCUACAUUAUACUUCACAAAAUGUUACUCUGAGAAAAAAAUCUUCUGGUUCUAAACCAACGUCCCCAUGAAUAAGUUUGUAAGGUUCCGUUAAAAUUUAAGAAGUAAAUUGCUUUUCCACUGAAGUGCACAUUCGUUUCAUUUUCAGGGAAGAAUUAAAAGUGUUCUCUAAAGAGGUUGUUCGGUUCGGAAAUCGUUGCAAAGAUCCUCAGUGGCACAACUUGGACCGCUAUUUCGACAAGUAAAAGCUCAUUGAGUAUUUUUUUUCUGUUAUAGUGCCAUUAAUUUUCCAGUAUUGCCUUUCUUUACAUGUCUCAUCUGUUUGACAAUAUCAGAUUGGCAUCAGAGCUUACACCUCAAAAUCAUCUGAAACAAGAAGCAGAAACAGUGAUGCAGCAGCUAAUGAUGUGCGUCCAGUGUACCGCUGUGAGUAGCUUCCCACAUUUGCAUAGUAAUAGUGCAUAAUAAUUUUGGUCAUUUGUAACUGAGGAUCUAGAAAAUAGAUAUGUAAAUAUUAGACUGGUUAGAUUCUAUGGCAUGGUUUGCUUAUGUUUGCUCUUAUUAGGAAUUAUACCACGAGUUACAUGCCUUGGAUAGAUUUGAACAAGACUAUCGGAGGAAAAAUCAGGAAGAGGAUGGUUCAAAUGCUAUUCAAAGAGGUCAUUUCCCUUGUAUCCCUUAUUUAAAAUUAUCUCGAGAUGUAUAAUUGAGUUGCAUUUACUUUAAACACAAGAUCUGUCACUACAGAAAGUAAGUUGUUGCUUCAACUGGUUUUGUAUGGAUGUUCAUGCAAUUUCUAGUAUGUGUUGAAUGAGAAAUCUGAAGAGUAUUCUACUACAUUUUGCAGAAGAGUCCUGUCACGGGGCUAAUAUGUGAUUGUUUCUUAUUUACGAGGUAUUCUCUAGUAUGGAUAUGUACCAAUAGGAUGGUGGAAACAUGAUUCUUUUCAGUUUUCCAAUCAGCUACCUCUUUCAGCUUUGCUAGCUCUCAGUUUCUAGUUCUUUUCAAUUAUUUCUCUUACAAAAUUUUUGAAAAUCAAAAUUUUAGAAGAUCGAAUAAUUUGAGUUUUUGAUUGAUAAUGUAGGUGAUAAUCUUCAAAUUUUAAAGCAAGAACUGAAAAGCCAAAGGAAGCAUGUAAAAAGCUUACAGAAGAGGUCACUCUGGUCCAAGAAUUUGGAAGAGGUAGGUAGGUAGUAUUGGUUACAUAUAAUCUAAUCUAUGACGUUCAAAAUACGAUCUCUAUUUAUGGCUACAUUCUCUCAUGUUCUUGACAUAUGCAUAAUGUAUUUUCGGUACUUUGAUGCCAUCUAUAUGCAUCAACAGGUUCUUCUCACAUGUUACUGUUUCUUUACUUUGCCCCUCUUAUUGUUCGAGCGCAUAAUUACAUUUACGUUCUUUGCUUCUGCUUUGAAAAAUGUCUUCUGUCUUUUCUUUUCUUACAGGUCAUGGAGAAACUUGUAGACAUUGUCCACUUCUUACAUUUGGAGAUAUAUGAUGCCUUUGGAAGGGCUGGUAUUAAUACCUCAAAACUUGGUUAUCUUUUUAUCUUCGUAGUAUAAUAGAUACCUUUCUUAUUUUAUUAAUGUGAACUAUGGCUGCUAAGAGUGAUGAGUGAUCCAUUUCAGUUUGAGAGAUGCAGAACUGUAUAUCUUUUCUUUUAGAAAAGAAUCUCCAUGAAAUAUCUUUUUAUUAGUCCAUUUAUAUUUAUUAUUCUUAAUUUUCUUUUCUUUCUCCUAAAUUCACUUCUCUUACCUAGUUUGGAAAGAUUUGGUUUAACAUAUUCUGCUAUAUACUGGGAAAUUCUAAACUCAUUCGAUGGCAAAUCACUAGAGUAAAGCGUAAAUCUUUUGAGCUUGAGUUGAGGAGUGUUUAACUCUAACACUUAAGUUUUGAGGUUGAUGUUCGGCUACUUGUGUUCUUAAACCUUAACCUAUCAUGUUAAAUUGUGCUGUGCUGCCACUUAUUUGUUGGCCUCUGUGUACAUGUAAUAACCUACUUAAACAUGAUGUGGAUAUCACAUAUUCCCUAAGUUUCUAGUAGUGAUUAUACGGCACAAUGUUAUAUAAGAUAUAGCAAGCAUGGACUCCCUAACUUUUUUUGUUAUUAGCUAUAUUUAUGCCAAUGCAAGUACUUGAGAAUCUUCUAACUAUUUGCAAAUCUUUCACUUGUUUGAACUCUCUUUAUCCAUAUCAUCUGCGAUGAAAAUUUAUUUUGAUUAGAAAGCAUAUUCUCAAUGUUACAUUCUUUGCUGUUGUUGCCAUCUUUAUCCAAAACAUUACGACUGUCAUAGCCGCAGUCUAAAGAUACUUGCUUUUUUCAUCUUUGUUUAUCAUUGUGCUAAAAGAAGUUUGGUCUUUAUGAAACUGUAGAUAAUGAAGAAGUGCCAGAAGCAUCCACCAGUCGUCGUAAAAGAUUGGGGCCUGCAGGCCUUGCGUUGCACUAUGCAAACAUCAUCACUCAGAUAGAUACUCUUGUAAGCUCAUGUCGUCACUGUCCUUGCAUUUCCUUCAUUACGCAGUUUGACAUAUAUUCAUUGUUUUAUUUGCUGUUUGCUAUUGUAUUUGCUGGAUAACGUAACCCUAUUACUAUUCCGUUUUAUACUUGAUGGUUGAUGUGAGUCUUCGUUUUUUUAUAAGAUUAGAACGAGCACGCUAACCAGUGUCUAGUAAUUAUGCCAUAUUGUUAUGAACCAUUGGUUGACAAUUUUGAUAAGUUGCGUUCAUGGGUCGUUUCUUAUUCACAUGUGAAAGAACCGACCAGAAAAGAAUCUGAAUGCAUGUCUAUUCGGUCAUCAUUUCUUGGAAACAUCUUCACAUUUUCUAUCUUCUAUUUCCUAUUCCAUUUUAAUUUGCUAGUAUAUCCCCCGUAAAGCGAAUCUUGUUUGUGCUCCAUUGUGAAGUAUGUUAACCAUAAUUAGUUUUGAAUUAGGUAUCUCGAUCGAGUUCAGUCCCUCCAAAUACAAGGGACGCAUUAUACCAAGGACUGCCACCCGGCGUGAAAUCAAAUUUACGUUCUAGAUUGCAGUCAUUUGAAGUCAAGGAAGACGUAUGCAGACUCCGAACACCUAUGUCUAUGCUGCAUUUUUAUCAUGCUUGUCAUAUUUCAUACAAUUCUCAUAUGAAAAUGCCUCUCGUCUUCUGUGUUUGCAGUUUACGGUCCCUCAAAUCAAAGCAGAAAUGGAGAAAACGCUCCGUUGGCUUGUCCCAAUAGCCAAUAACACAACCAAGUAACUUUUCUAUUGCUGUAUUACUUAGUCUUAAUUAGCCAUUAACGUGAACCAAUUUAUGAUUUUUCUUAUGAAACUUUUACAAAUAUAGGGCGCACCACGGUUUUGGUUGGGUCGGAGAGUGGGCAAACACAGGGUUAGUUCUUGAUCAUUUUGUUCAGCUCCUAACAAAAUUACCGCAAUCUACUCUUAUGUUUUUGGUUUAAAUAUCCAUGGCCGCUGUAAAAUCUGAAUUUUCAUACAUACCUUAAAAUCUGAAUUUUCAUACAUAACCUUUCAUACAUAACCCUCCAAAGUGCAGUCUCUGGCAUAAAUAACCUUAUCUACGAUGUGGAGUCAUCCAUUUCUUGGUGAGAAGUUGGUUAAUAUUAGAAGGAGUUUUAAAGCGGGGCCAUUUUUGUAAGCAUAGAAGUUAUGCUUUCGAAGGCCAUACGCGGAAAAUUCAGAUUUUGCAGGGUUAUACAUACAAGCAGAUAAUUUUGCAGGGGCUUAUAUAUGUCAAUAUCUCCAAGUUUUGGAUUUUAUUAGAAAACCAAGCAAUCUCAGAUUUCGAUACUCGUUUUACAGGACGGAGGUGAACCGAAAGCCGCCGGGGCAGGCCGACUUCAUCCGAAUAGAGACACUCCACCAUGCUGACAAGCAAAAGACCGAAGCAUACGUCCUCGACUUAGUAGUGUGGCUCCACCAUCUCAUAAGUCUCUCCAGGCCCGCAAACGGAGGCGUACGAUCCCCAAUAAAAUCCCCCGUUCGGUCCCCAACACAAAGGGGCAUAACAGUCGCACUACCCGCGAACAAAGCAAGCAAUUCAUCAUCGCCGAUACUCACCCAGGAAGACCAAGAAAUGCUAAAAGACGUCAAAUUCCGAAAGUUCAUCCCGGGAAUAAGCAAAAGCCAGGAGUUCGAUAUGAAGAAGCCGAGGUUGAAUAAACACAGUAGGUUGAGCAAGAGUAAUAACCAUUCUCCUACAAGUAGUAGUAGUGGUAGUAAAAAGGACUUUUUCCCAGUGAGGAGGCCUUCCAUGCUACCUGUCAUCAACUUUGAUAUUGAUAGGAUAAAGGCUUUGGAUGUCAUUGACAGAGUGGAUGAUCUCAGGAAGCUAUAAAUGAGCUCUUUUUCCUUUUUUUUUCUGUGGAAGUUGUGGUGAGAGGAUUUAUGUGCUUCUUGGGUAUGGAAAAGCCAAUGUAUGAGGGAGCAGUGUGAAGUGGUGUUUGUAUGUAGGAGGGGAUGCUGAUCAUGGCUGGUUUGUAUUAUAUUAUGCUAUUGGGGCCAUAACUAGAUGGGCUAAAAGAAAAGGGAAAAGCAAAGAGGGGGGAUGGGAGUUGGGUGCUGUAGUAGUUUCUCUACUUGUACAAGUUCUUAAUAAUAAAGCUUUGCAUACAGCUCUUUCCAUCAAUCCUGCAUUUAAUGUUCAACUGCUGUAAAUUUUCAGUAAACUACAUCUUUGGUUACUUCCAACUGAAUUGCAUAGUUUCACCUAUGUUGCUUCAGUGUGGUGCAAGUGAACCACUCCUCAGUUUUGUGUUUCAAUUUGGUCAGUCUAUCAAAUUUAAUUUGAUUUUUUCCUACCAGAAGGAUGGUAUGGCAGCAACUUGAGCUGUUUUAUCAUCUCCAGAGAAAAUGUGCCGGCAGGUGAUAGUUGAUUUGCUGGUGAUGGUUGAUUUGAUUAUUGAGCAAUUUCCAGACUACCAUAAUUGUGCUACCGAAUUAUCUUUGGAUGUUUUUCAUUUAUGAGAGAUGAUGUGAUAACUAAAUCAGCUGUCGCAUUAUUAUUAUUUUAAGGAAAUCAAAUAGAGCUUGAAUCCAUUAGAUAUUGAAGGUCAGUGUGAUUUUAUUGGAGUAAAUUGUUAAGUCUAGUGAUCUGAGUGAAACCCAUGAUAAAUUCAGAGAACUCUGAUAGUUAGAAUACACAGGAUUGGCGGACACAGAUUUGCACCUUCUGCAUAGCCAGAUCAUAAGGAACAUAUCUUACUCCCUUUACGGCAGAGUAAAUCUAAAUCCUAAUUUCAUUUGAGUUUAAACCCAUCAAAGCUCCAAAUGAUCUAACUAGAUAUCCAAGCUGUUUCAUAAUCUAUGUAAUGGACAGAGAUCAGUAUUAUAUCUUACAUUCUCUAAUUUUUUUUUUUUUUUCUAUAUGAUAUUUUUUCUAUAUGAUAAGGGAGAGAGAAGAAAAGAACUCAAGAAACAAAAUAGAAUUGAUGUGGAAAAUACAUUCCAAAAUUCACAUUUUGGUUGUGUUUAUUACUGGAAUGCAAUUACCAAAUUAUACUAACAAAUAACAAAAAUCAACCACCUAGUCUUUUUGCACCCAAUAAGUAUAAAACAAACACCCUGUGAUCAACACCGAAGAAUAAAAACCAUUUUCUUCUUUUUGCGGAUAAGUUCCUUUACAGGAAAAAAAAAAGAAAAAAAAAGAGCUUCUACAGUAAGGCAAGCUUUUCGCCAUCAUUUACACAUUUGUCACACUUUUAAACAAUCAUACAAUAUGAUUUAUAUAAAUAUAUCUAAUCUUUCAUUCGAUGUGCAUGAAUUUUCGCCUGGUGCUAUAAGUGAAGUGUAAACCGACUACCAUUUGCGCCUUUCACCUAGGAGGCCUCUCAAGAGCAACGCAACCGAAUUUCCCUUUCCUGAAGUCCGUCAAUACGCGAAAAGCUGCUUGGCUAACAUCUCCAUUGAAUAGUUGAAGAGAAAGCUUCUCAAUAAAUCUGCGGCGAGUUGAUUACAGCAUUAGAAAACCAGUUAUAUAUUACUAGAUAAAGAGCCAAGCCAUGCUGAUACAAAGAAACCCUACGUUUUACCGCAGCGACCAUCUACAUCAAUUCUGUAGCGGCUGCAAAGAGCUUCUGAACCUGCAAGAAACCAGAAAAUCACGAGGAAUAUCAGUUGAGGCAGCGUAUAGAAUGAGAUAAAAGAGCAGCAGUUUUCCCUUCUGAAUUAUUUGAUAUAUUAUUCUUUAACUGCCAAAUUUGAUGAAACGUCAGCGUGAAGUAUCUGACCUACAGUAGGAAUCCUUGCCAACAUCUGCACAAGAAUGGCCGUCACAUCAGCAACAUCAUAUGAUCUCUCUCCGAUAUCGUCACAUAUCGCAAGCUUGAUCGCAGCUGUCUGGUCGCUGAUUCGCAUUGGCAACAUUCCAGGAGAGUCCAGCAAUUCUAGAUCCUUCCCAAAACGGACCCACCUAUAUAGUUAAUGGAACUGAAUGAACAAUUCCUCGCCUUUUCUCAGGAUUGCAAAAAGAAUCUCCAAUGAAAAAUAUAGUAUUUAUUACUGUUGUCACUUUUUCCUAUGUACUAACAUUUUUCAGGGAAGAAGUUAAAAUAAACUUACUUAAGUUCUCUUGUGACACCAGGUCUAGAAGCUGCUGGACACAUUCGGCGCUUUAAUAAGCGAUUAAUUAGGGAAGAUUUGCCCACAUUCGGAUAUCCAACAAUUCCAGCUCGGACCUGGAAGAACACAGGAGGGGGGGAAAGGAAAGAAAGAAAAACCACCGUUAAAUAAGCCAGCAAGUUAUCUCUUCUAAUAAUUCCUACAAUAUGGGGCUCCUUUUAGUCCUCUUUCUAACCACGAGCGUUUAAUUUCCUACAAAGAGAUUUUUAAUAUAACAAAAACUAGAUGCAAGACCAUCAUUCACAGCUUCAUGCAUAUUAUUUUUGGCACUCCUUUAUCUACAAGAACGACCUUAGCUCUGGUGGUUCUGCAGGCGCUAUAUCAGGUUUUAUUUGAUUUUCACAUCACUGUGUAGAUUCAAGAGGGGGGGAAUCAGAAAACAUACUGGACGAGGGAGGAGUCCCUUAGCUCUCCGUUUAGUAUUCACAACAGUUGCUAGUGAUUUUGCAAGCCUUCCAAGUUUCAUUGUACCCUGCAAUUGCACCAAAAUUCUAAGAACAUAGUAGAAGAAAUCAGUAACUAACCUAAAAUAGUUUAUAAAGCAUCUUGCCAUACAAUACCAUUCCAAGCUGCCCAUUAGCAAAGACAACUUUAAUCCCCUGCUUUGCAAAGAAUGCAGCCCAUGCAUUUCUAUCAGCGCUAGAUACCAUGUCUUCUCUAUUCAAAACUAGAAUCUUUUUCCGAUUGCCUAGCCACGAAUCCAUCUAUUCAUGCAAAAAAGCAAUUCAAAUAUUUCAUAUUUCGCAACUCUGUUUAGUUAUCUUCUCUUUAUAAGUAUAUUGAUUUUGCAAGCGUGACGAAGACAUUGAAAAUCACCUGAGGAUGGCUCGUCGCCAAGGGGAUUCUGGCAUCCCGAACCUCGAUGACAACAUCCAUUAGCUUCAAUUGUUCUUUUAGUUCUUUUUCUGUUUUUGCAAUAUGGCCAGGAUACCACUGCAAGGUGAGAAUCCAAUCGUGAGAUGGUGAUAUCAGUAACCACUGAAAUUUUAAAACAUUAAAUUCCACUCAAUCAUUAAUGAAGAAAAGUGCUGUAUGUCUCACAUUCUUACACAAAAUAUGGGUUUUUACACAAAUAUCCCAGUAAAAUUAACUAUGUAGGUAUGUAGCCCCGACAAAUCUCGAUUUUGACCUCAAAAGUACAGUUCACACUCUCAUUUUAGAAAAAGUUGUUUCACAGAGGCAAUUUCUUGGUAAGUAAAAGGGUUUUGAAUAGUACAUAGGAAACAAUUAAGAUUUAAAAGGAAUGUUUAUGCUAUUAUUCAUAAUAACAGAAGCGUAUAUAUGCAACGAUCCCUGUAACACAGAUUCUGCAAAGGCACACCUUAUCUGUACCUGCACAGGGCGCAGGGGCCUAGUCCAGUAGUGUAAAUCAGCAUCCAAAUUUUGCCAGUCACACUCUUCCCAGAGUCCUUCACGGCUAUCGUUAGCAAGAUUGAUCUUUUCUUUCUGAGACCAAGUAAGUGUUGUUCCACCUGCAAUCUGAGAAUAGAUAUACCAUGAGGUCAGAGCACAAUUCAUACGCCAUCUAGACAUCUAGCGCGAUCAGAUCAAAGUAAAUUUAGAUAACAAAAGUUGAAGAGAGGAAAAUGUUAGCAUUAGUUGGUGCUUCUUAGCAUCAACCAAAUAAUGUUUAGCAAAAAACGUUUUUUUUUUUUUCCUGGGUAAUGAAAAUCUAAGAUAAAAGAAUUACAAUAACAUGGAUCGCUCGCUCCAAAAAAAAAAAAAAAAAAAAAAGGUAGAUUGUGUGCAUGAGAGAUGAAGCUUCCCGAAAGAUUUGGCACGAAAUAGCAUUUACUUUUCACAUAUCUAUAUUCUUCUUUGCGACACUAAACUAUCCGCGGUAACUGUUCCAUUACACUGUAAGAAACCCUAAUUAAAGGCUCAUCGGAAAUAGCAUCAUCGAGGAUACAAAUCAUAAACUCAGAAGUACAUAUAAGCGCAAAGCGAAGCCAUGAUCCCUUCCUAAGUGUUUGAAUUUGGGGGGUAAUAUAAAAAAUGGUAACUUUGAUGAGCGAUGUAUUGUAAAAUUCCAAUCCGAAACCCUAGACUAGCCGACACACAUAAGCACGUAGUCCAAGAUUUCGAGAAACAAAGGGUUUAAAACCCUAGACUGAGCUCAAGCAAAAAACCCUAGAGAAAAAUCGAGGUAGGUCGACGACGAGCUCGCUCACCGCGUUGGGGACGAAGAGUCGGGGAGGAGGAGGCGCCGCUUCGUGGAGAUCGUUAAUGAGGCAAAGCGCGGGCGCGGAGGAGAAAGGGGAAGAGGAGGGGAUAGAGAAGAAGCCAUUGGAGACGAGCUCGAGAGCUCGAGAGAGAGAGAGGUGGAGGUGAAAAUGGAGACGCACACGUGACCUAAUCCGGUAAAAAUGUAUGGAGACACCCUAAACUAUAUAACAUUUUGAAAGAUAUCCCUUAACUUUUUAUUUGGUUAUUUAUUUUGCCACACUCUUUACCUUUCUAAUUUUACUUAAUUUAGUUAAAAAUUUUAUUUUAUCAAAUUUAUUACUCUAUAAAUUAUUAACUAUUAAUUUACUAAAAGGUGAUUAAUGUUAUUACAUUUGACCAAACCAUCAAGGAAUUUGAAAAAAGUUCUCAUUAUUUUUUUAAACUAAAGAUCAUUUAAUUUUUUUUUUAAAAGAAAGGAGUCUCAAUUAAAAAAAUAAAAGUUAAAGGGCCUAAACCCUAAAUCCUAAAACCUUAAACUCUAAACUAGUUCGUGUCAAUGGCCGAACACGAGCGAGCUGGGACCGACUCCUGCUCAGCACGUUUCACAAACUAGCCGAACACGAAUUGGCUGGUUAAAAUAUCGAGCCUAAAGAGCCAAAAAAUUUAUAAAUGAGCCGCUUACGAAUAACAAGUUAAAAGUAUUAGAAAGAAUAUAUAUAUAUAUAUAUAUAUAGAAAAUAAUUUUAUAAGAUCGUACGUAUUAGAUUUUAAUUUAAUGGUUAAAAUUUUACAUAUAAAUAAAGCUUUUUACAAUUGAGUUGAAAUUUAUAUUUAAAUUGAGCUAAAAAUUAAAUAAUAAAAAUCUGUAUUAUAUAUAUAUAUAAUUAUUAUUUAUCUGCAUAAAUAUAAAAUAUAUAUUUAUUCAAGCUGUUAUCAAGCCGAACAUGAGUAAGUUAAUCCUAGAUCAUUUCAACUCCUUUACUAAACUAAAGGAUUCGAUCUCGAGCUCAUUUUAAGUCCAAUACGAACCGCUUACGAACAGAGAGUUAGGUUGUCGACGCUAUUCUAAACUCUAUAAUUGAGAAUUAUUUGAUAAACGUGUUAGUUGUGUCAAUUUGAGCAUUGACCUACUUUUGAUGUGUGUUUCCAGCUAACCAAAAAACAUGUUGACACCAAUUUCGAAUUUCAAAAUGUGAUUGAACAUUUUAAAAUACGUACUGUAUUAAAAAUUUCAAAAUAAUUUCAAAAUAAUUCUAUAAAAGUUAGUGAAAAAGAGAAUUGGAAGAGAAGAACUUGGGAAAAAAUAUCCCAAUAAGUUAUCAUUUUCUCACAUGAGUGAAAAAUUAGUGAAAAAAAAAAACUCACAAAUGAACUUGUUCAUAAAUUUUAAGCAGGCUACAAAAAAUUUCAAAUACUAGUUUCUAAAAUUGAGAUUGGCUGCUACAGUUUUUUCUCUAAUGCUUAGCAUCAAAUUCUUUAUAGUAUUAUUAAUUAAAAUUAUAAGGACAUUUCUAGUAUUAUAUUUUAUUCAUUAUACAUAAUUAUGAAUAAAUUAUAUAACAUAAAUUAUUACAUAAAAUUAACUAUUAUAUAAAAUAAAAUAAAUAUAUACUAAUAUAAAUUAGAUUGUUAUAUAAAAUAAUUUUAUAAAUAAUUUUAUAUAAAAUCUAUUGAUAUAAAUAAAUUAUUUUAUAAAACAUGUUUAGGCUUAUUUUGGUAUUAAGGUCCAUCUGCCGCUAUUAGAUAAAAUGGAAUUGAGAUAAAAAUAUACAGAGUUAUACUUCUGCGUUCUUCGGUGAGACUGCAAAAAAUAUACAAUAACCGACUCAUUGUGCGUGAUAUGCGAAAUACAAUAUUACGUAUAAUUUCUGUCCGUUUGGUUCCUGAAAAACAAAUUUUUUGCUAAAACAUGGAUAUGGUGUAGUGUAGAAAAAGCCUUUUCUUUUUUGCUUUUUUUUUCCAAAUUUUAUAAAAAAAAGGCUCUUCACAAAAUUUUUAUUUCUUUUUUUUUUUCUAAAAAAUAAAUUUUCAUACUUUUCCAACAAACAGGCUAUAAAUAAAUGAUCUUAUGGAACAGCAAUUUUAAUGGUGUCUCAAUUACUGCAUUGCAGAUUAUGAUAACCUGAUUUAAGUUUGGAAAUAUUAAUUGGGUUAGAAGAGUGAUGGGAAACACGAAACUAAUUAAGAUAAAAACGCACAGAACUUAUCUGAGUUGGCUAUCCAAUCUUUCAAAAUCAUAAUUUCACUGUUCAAUCUUUCAAUUCAUUUAAAUUGAAUCAGUUAAAUUUGAGUACGUCAUUUAUCUUUAUAGGCCUUAUUAAUAUAUUUCAUAUAAUUCUGGCAACUCUAAAUUUAUUCCAAUAAGCAAUAAGCUUAAAUUUUGAAAUCAAAGUUCUGUUAACCGACUCAAAUUAAAUAAAAUGAAAGAUUGGACAGUAAAAUCGAAAUUUUGAAAGACUUCGCGGCAGACUGCCAUAAUUCAGAUAAGGGGUUAAAAGCAGUCAAAUCCUGAUGAUAGCUUGACAAAAUAGACAACAUAAGUUCCAAAAAUUCAGUCAAAUAGAAACACAAGAGGACUUUUAUUAUCACUUGUAGGAUAAUGAAAGCACUUGUGCCGUACAAUUAGGCAAUAGAAAAGCGAAAUCUUCAGGAAGUUCAUAGAAACUCAAGGCAGUGGAACAGACCUUUUGGUGCUUUUGACUACGGCAGCAGAUCUUCCAGAAACAGAAGAGUACUCAGAUAGCUGUUUUGAACUUUGAACUGCUACCAAACACAAAGGUAAAGGUGCACUAAAUGAAAAACUUUGGAAAGAAAAAAAAAAAAACUAGCAUUUAUUUCAGAUCAGUAUUGCAAACAAAGAAUCUCAAAUGUUGGAAAUCUAAAAUCAUGAUUUUGCAAGCGCGAAAGUAUGAUGAUGCGCCCUAAUCACGUAACAGACAAUCUCAUGCCUUAGUUUUGUAGAAUUGGAGAAGGCCUUAGGCCUGAACCUGCUGUAUCUGCAAAAGUGCUGUUUGAUUAGAGUUGUCCAAAUUAUAAACAAUAAUCGCUUUCGCAAGAAACACAGCUUCCAGCUGUAGCAGAAUCGCAAAACCAGAGAGUAUACACUUUCAGCAAAAGCUCCUAGCUUUCGAUUUAUCAGAUAAACACUUGAAGAGUUUUAUAUCGGAUAAUCACGUAACUCGAGCAAUCAAUGCGUAUGCAACAAAUACGAGCCUCGACAGGAUUCUGCGAAAUAUGCAGUAAACACGGGCAAAUUACAAGUAGGCCCGGAUCAAAGCCGCAAAGAAAGAGCGAAUCAGGAUCUGCAAUCGACUACAGUUCAGCCAAAGCAUUCCGCGCAGUCGUAUCGCAACUCGAUUUCAAGAGGAAGAAGUUUGCAUCUACCACCGAAUGCGAACAAAAUAAGAAAAAUGAAUAUAUAUAUAUAUAUUGUGAAUAAAAUUGGGACAUGUUUAUGGUUAAUCAACUGAUAAUCUGAACUGAUACCGACUACUAGUACUAAUCAUCAUCGACGUCGUCAUUGCCAAAAUUUCAGAUCAAAAGUAUUAGCUAAUCAGGAAAAUAAGGCAGAAUGAAACUGUUAAAACAAGAAAAAGAAACCAAAUCCGAGGUAGCAGGGCAUCUGUAUGUGUUACCAUUUUUCCGCAGUUCUUCGAAUUCACUAGGCAGUGCGCGAGUGCGCGAAUUGCGAGUGCCCUUGCUGCCUCUUGUUGUUUGCAGUAGUUCUAUCUAUCUAUCUAUCUAAUCUAUAUAUGAGAGUUACCGUCACCUGUUCGAGGAAAUGCCUGUACUUGCUUGCUAGUCCUCGGAUUCGGAGGCGGCCGUUGUGGCGGCGGUGGAAUGGAGGUGGAGCUGGGGGGGAGGGACGGGGUAGUCGCGGGAGAAGCAGGCGUCGCAGAAGGUGGGGGAUUCGUCGCCGAGGAGGGAGCGGAGCUUGUCGAGGGAGAGGAAGGCGAGGGAGUCGGCGCCGAUGAGGCGGCGGACGCCCUCGGGGUCCAUGCGGUUGGAGACGAGCUCGGCGGAGGAGGGGGUGUCGACGCCGUAGUAGCAGGAGGCGACGACGGGGGGGCUGGCGAUGCGGACGUGGACCUCGCGGGCGCCGGCGCCGCGGAGGAGGCGGACGAUCUUGGAGGAGGUGGUGCCGCGGACGAGGGAGUCGUCGACGACGACGACGCUGCGGCCGCGGAGGACGCCGGGGACGGGGGCGAGCUUGAGCUUGACGGCGAGGUCGCGCACGUCCUGGGAGGGCUGGAUGAAGGUGCGGCCGACGUAGUGGGAGCGGAGGAGGCCCUGCUGGAAGGGGACGCCGGAGGCCUCGGAGAAGCCGAGCGCGGCGUAGAAGCCGGAGUCGGGGACGGGGAUGACGACGUCGGCGCCGGGGGCGGGGGACUCCUCGGCGAGGGCGCGGCCGAAGGCGGAGCGGGAGGCGUGGACGGGGCGGCCGAAGACGACGGAGUUGGGGAGGGCGAAGUAGACGUGCUCGAACACGCAGGCGCGGCGGGGGCGGCGGGGGAGGAGGCAGAGCGAGGACACCGACAUGUCGCGCGCGUCCACGACCACGAGCUCCCCGGGCUCGACCUCGCGGACGUACUCGGCGUCGAUGAGGUCGAGGGCGCAGGUCUCGGAGGCGAAGGCGAGGGCGCCGUUGGGGCGGCGCCCGAGGACGAGGGGCCGGAACCCGAAGGGGUCGCGCACGGCGAACAGCUUGUGGGGGGAGAGGAGGAGGAGGGAGAAGGCGCCCUCCAGGGCCUCGCACGCGCCGAGGAUGCGGGAGAGGAGGGGGCGGGACUGGGACGCCGCGAUGAGGUGGAGGAGCACCUCCGUGUCGGACGAGGUGUUGAAGAUGGAGCCGCGCGACUCCAGCAGCGCGCGGAGGGGGCGGUAGUUCACCAGGUUCCCGUUGUGGGCCACGGCCAGCUGCCCGAACCGGUACGAGGCCAGGAAGGGCUGGACGUUCGCGGCGGCGGCGGAGGGGGAGCCGUCGCCGGAGGUGGAGUAGCGGACGUGGCCGAUGGCGGACCCGCCGGGGAGGGACGCGAGCAGGGCCGGGUCCGAGAACACGUCCGUCACCAGGCCCAGGCCCGUCACCGACCGGAGCCGCGGCGGGGACGACGACGGGUCCGACGCCGCGAUCCCGGCCCCCUCCUCGCCCCGGUGCUGCAGCUUCUGCAGCGCCAGGUAGCAGAGCGACGCCGCGUCCGGGUCGCCCACCACCCCCACCACCCCGCACUCCUCCCGCGGCUUGUCCAUCGCGAAGUCCACCUCCACGAACGGAUUGGCCUCCUUCUCCGCGGGACCGGCGGCGGCGGCGGCGGCGAGGAGUUGGAGGGGGCGAGGGGGGCGGCGGAGGAGGAGGGGGGAGGGGAAAGGCGCGAGCUUCGGAGCGCCGGAGGAGGAGGAGAAGGUGGCGGUGGUGGUCGCCAUGGAUAAAGGUGGGAGCUUUGGAGAGGAAAGGAGGAAAAGGUGGGAGCUUUUUGCGUUUAUUGGUGUUUGGGUUUGUAUAUAUAAUUUAAUAUAUAUAUUUAUAUCUAUAGAUAUAAGACCUACGUAGAGGAGGAAGAGGAAGAAGAAGAAAAUACGGAGUAGGAGAUAGAGAGAGAAAAGGGCGGAUUCGGAGAAUUUAGUUAUUAAUUUAAUUUAUUUCUUUUUUUUUAUUAGAGUUCUAUUCCUAUUUGGACAAAUAAAAGAUAUAAAAGAUUCCUAAUAUAUUGAAAAUCAAAAUUUAUGAUGAUUGUGUUACUUUUGUAUUUUUCAUGUGUUAUUUUAAAUUUGAAUUUGAAGAUUCAUAAUUUUUUUUUGCUGAGAUGAACUAAUAUACCAUAUCAGUUUCAUAUCUGAAUAUCUAUCUAAAAAGUUAUUGAUAUUUGAUAAUUAUGUGGUUUAGAAAAUUCUACUUUUUCAAAUUCAACCGCCAUAAUUUAUUACUUCUUUCCCUAUCUAAGUUUUGUGAUAUGUAACAUUCAUUAUUUUAAUAGCAAUAAAUUGUAAGACUGAGAAAAUAUUUAUAACUUCGUAUUAUUUUCUGGAAAAGCAUUAAAAACCUAUUUUCAAAGUUCACCAUGUUAAUACAAAUUUCAAACCCGUUACAUUACAAUUAAAGGUCUAUUUUUUUUUUUAAAAAAACAUAUUAAUUGCAAUCAAAUUAACUUAUAUAAGGUUAUAUAUGUAUGGUGAUCUAAAUUGACGUAGUUUAAAGGGAAUCAAGGUCAAAAAGUGAGCGUAGUGAAUCACGCAAUCCUAGCCCUUCGUUUUGCAAUGGCCAAAAAGGAAUAAUCGUAUUAUUUACGCAGAGAUAUGAAACCCUAACACUCCGCCGCCAUAACAUCGGAGAAACCAUUCCCUGCACCUGGCGUAUAUCCAUACGUAUUAUGCACCUCAUCCAAGUAUUUACUGAUAUUUUAAAAAUUAAAAAAUUAUAAAACAAAAAUUUAGGAAACUUAACUUUACCACCCAACUUUUCAAUUUAUUUGAAUUGAAUUGGUCAAUGACACUUUAAAUUUAAAAUUUGAAUAUAUCAUUUAUUUUUACAGAUUUAGUUAGCAUAUUUCAUGCAAUCCUCGCAACUAUAAAUUUAUUAAAGUAAUGUUAUUAGUUUAAUUUUAAAGUCGAAUUAUCGUUGACAGACUUGAACCAAAAAUAAUUUAAAAAAUUAUAUAGUAAAAUUAAAAUUUGAUUUAAAAUGGUUCACGGUUCAAAUAUUUUUUACAAAAUUUUGAUCUACUAAAUAAUCGCUGUAACAUCUAAGAAAAAGUAUAUACAAAUUACAAAUUUUAAAUAUUUAUUAGCUAGAUAUCAAGUAAUCUAAAAUUAUCUAAAUAAAAAACUAGUGUCUAAAUUUGCUAAUACUUACAGAUCUCACGUCAUUUUCACAAUAUAAAUAUCCAAGUAAUCAGUACCGCUAACACAAUCAAAGUGAUUUGAAUUUACACAUUUACAAAUUUUAUAGUUUACAACAUCAUGAUCUUAUACACACUUUUAUUCUUGCAAAAUUUCAAAUAGCUUAAAUCUCUUUUUAUGCAGUGCUUGAUCGUCUGAUCAAAUGUCCUAUACGGUGAGUUGCUACAUAAAUAAAUAUCAUAUUUACCGAACACGGUCAAACAGAUAAAAACUUAAUAUUUAUAUUUAAAGAGUAUAUAAUAACUUAAUAUUAUCCAUACCACAUUUAAAAGAUAGGACUUACGAGUCCUCAAUUAAAGGCUUAAUGGUUGGGCCACUUGAAAUUUAAAUUCAAAACCUAAUUUUUCAUUUUUUAAAAUGAAUUUAUUUUCCAACUGAAUAGCUUACUAUUUCCUAAGGAAAAAAAAUAAAAAGAAAAAAAAGCAAACAGGAUUUUAUACAGGGCAUUGGUGUACGAGAUCGUCUAAGACCCGGUCAUCUGCACUAAUUCCUAUCGGAUCGCUAUUUUUGAACGGUACUAGGGCUCGAGAAAAUGGCGUCCCACGGUGAACGUCCGACUACUUUAUUCCGCCGUCUUUACUUCGUGCCGUUGCGUGGACCGCGUGGGAACCUCCUUGGGCAACGAUUUCUUGCUGUGGCGGGCCCCAACACAGAACCUACUUGCUAAAAUAUACAAAAAUAAAGGGAAGACUCAAAAAACCCCCCCUGUGGUCGGUGCAUUCUCCUCCCUCAACUUUUUUCACCCUGCUCUGUGUUAAAACGUAUCAAUUUAAGACCCCCUGUGGUUUCAUUUUUAUCUUUUCGGAAGCUUUUUCGUUAAUAUUUCGUUAAAUUAUAUACAAAAAACUUCAGAUAACCAUCUAUAUUUAUCGAAUAGUCACUUUAGUAUUCUUUAAUUUUAACUUUGUCACUGAUUUUUAAAAAAAAUAAUAAUAAAAUUGAUAACAAAAAGAUAAAAACGAAACCACAGGGGGGCAAAUUGAUACGUUUUAAACCACAGGGUAGCAAAGUGAGAAUGCACGAAACCACAGGGGGGUUUUUGAAGUUUUCCCAAAUAAUAAUAAUAAUAAUAAUAAUAAUAAUAAUCUAGGGAAUUCUCUUUUAAGACUUUUCUUUUUUUUUUUUGUAUUUUCCCUUUUUAGAAGACUUUAAUAAUAAAUAAAUGGUUGCCCUAAGUUGAAAAUACUCUCCUAUUGACUUUUAUGACUGUAAUAGGAAAAAAGAAAAAAAAAAACUUCCCAAUUACAUGAAUUUUACUAAUGUACUCGCACUAAUCCUUAAAAUAUUAAACUUACAAAUGAAAAAGAGAAGAUAAUAUAUUAUAUGCAGGUUAAGAUUCUUAUUUUAAUUUAGGGGCAAUUACUUAUAUAUCCCUGAAAAGUUCCUGACUUUCCGAUUUACCCCUCUUAGAAGGCUAAUAUUGAAAAUACCCUUUCAACGUUCCAACCUAUUUCUAAUAUACCUCUAGAGUUAAAAUCUAUUAAUUAACUCUGUUAUCUCUAUAAAAUUACUAUUUUGCCCUUUCAAAUAUACCCUUCCACUAUCACUGACUUUCUUAUUUGCCCUUAAAGUUAGGGGCACAAAAAGUAUUUUGACUUUUGGUCUUUUCCAAUAUACCCCUUUUCCAAAUAUACUCAUUUACCGUCACCAACAUUUCUUAUUUGCCCUUAAGUUAAGGGCAAAAUUGGUAUUUUAAUUCUUUUUAACUGUGGUAUAUAUUUAACUCACGUUUAACCCAAGUUAACUUAACAGGAAAUAACUGCAGGGGUAUUUUGCAAUAACGGUGGAACAUAUCAGAGAUAUUUUAAAAAGAAAAAAAAGGAGGGAUAAAUCGAAUAUUUUCAAACGUAUGAGGGGUAUAUAGGCAAUUAUCCCUUUAAUUUAAUGUAACAUUGUGUGAUGGCACAUGAAUCAUAUCUUGAGCAAAAUAACCUACUUUUCCUUUCACGAGCGUAGCUAAAUAAGCCUAUUUGGAUGCAUGAAUAUCUUUUCCAAUAUAUAUAAUAUUUGACGGAUGAACAGUCUGAUAAAAUGUCUAAAAUGAUAUAUCAUAUUCGACAUUCAAAUAAUUUGUUAUGAAUAAGAUAAAUAACUCGGCAGGAAAAGACGAUAGCCUACAAAAUCAUUGGCGCCAAGAACUUUGAAGAAGCAAAAGAAUGAAACUUUUUUACUUGUACUGAAUAAGUUACUUUUUCGCUGAAUAACUUAUUCCGACAUACAAAUAGGGCUGACAUAUGAGUGAUGGAUUGCAAAGAAAAGUGGGAUAUUUGAUAAGAACAAGAGUAACUUUUUUUGUUUUCCAAAAGCUGUUUGGAUGACUUUUAUAUAAAAAUAUAAAAUGCAGCAAAAACAAUCUCAUUCCUACGUAAUUUGGGGAGAAGAUUUAAAAGAGCUCAAAACUAUAAAAUUUUGGAGUAAAAUAAGAGCAAACAUUUUAGCCAUGCAUUUCCCUGUAACUCUAUCUCUCUCUCUCUCUCUCUACAAUUGGAACUUACACUGCUCUAAACAUCUCAAAUACAAAGUUUUUUUUCACUUAAAAGUAAUAUGUUUUAAACAAAUACUAUACCAGUAAUAAAAAAAACCUUUGAAUUAAACUCUGGCAUUCCCAAACAGUCCCUAAAUUGUUACUUGAACAAAGUUUUCACUGUUCUGGAGAUUUUUUUUUUUUUUUUCCACAUUAAUAUCUGAAGAUGCAGUUAAUAAUGGACUGGCCACCCAGAAGAAGUACAUUGACAUUGGACCCAAUAAUUCUUUUGCGGAGGCAACUUUCAGAGGAAAAGGCCAGAAAGAGACCCAAUUCCAAUUGCAAGGAAAAUUAUUGACUGCGCCGAGCAUAGAAGUACAUCUCAUAUACCGCACAUUUAAAACUCUAUUGAUAAAGUCCUCAAAAUUAAAAUUUAACUUAUUAGAUAUGUUUUACGACACAUUUAACGACCCGCUUCCCAAGAUGUCAUCCAUCACUUAGCCCACACUUCAACUAAAUGGGCAUCUUAGACGUGGUAGCCCAUUACACCAAAUCCAUCGGCCCAAAAUGACUAAACUCCGUUAUCUAGUCUGGUCUACUUAGCCUUAUAUAUUCAUGCACCAUGGAUUUUACAUCCGAUGUGAGACUAUUCUUAGCCCCGGAGAGUCACAUACUACCAAUCACAUACAUAGCCUAAGAUUUCCAGCCAGUCUAUGAUAACAUCCUCAAAAUUAAAAUAUAACUUAUAGGAUAUGUUUUAUGACAAUUAAAAGUCCUAUAUAUCAAAAAUCAUAACAUUUGGUCAAAGAUUUUCUAUGAAUUCUGCUGUUGAUUUUCGCAACUUCUUGAUGCCUAGACAAUGAAUUUUCAAAAGGCGUGCUUUAGAUGUCGUAGAACACUAAUCAUCAUAAGAAAUAAGGUGUGGUGUUUGGAGAUAUAUGUAUAUACACCCUGUGCUGGCAAUAAUUUUCUCCAAUUGCAAGAGGGUCUGAAACUGACCCACACAAACUGAGCAACCAAAUCCUUAUCCUGGCUUUUAUGUCCACCUAUAAACAAGAGGCAGGGACGCACUACUGCUACACAACUGGAUAUGAGAGAGAGAUAGAAAGAGGUGUUUGUGUUGGUAUUGUGUUAGCCCUGUUUAAUGAUAAAGUGGGGAACCCACAAAAUAAUGAAAUACAGAAUAUUCCACUUGUUGUUUACUACAACCCACUACCUGAUGAAUGUGACCAUCUCUGACCAUUUCUAACCUUCUAACACGACAUAAUCUCUUUGAAGUGUUCGUGUAAAAUAGUUGUUAAUACCUAGCUUCAGAAGCAGCUUCUCUUGUACAAAAAGUAAUAUCCAGGAAUCAGCAACCAGAUGUUCAAUGUUACGAAAGGACGUCGACUGAAGUUGUUACUGGAAAUUUUUUGUUACCCAAGCAACUCUAAUCAGAUAACACUCAUACGCUUCUACCUAUUUGAGAAGGAAUUACUGCUUAGACCUCAAUUGCCACAUCAUUCAUGUCACACCUUUUAAAGACAACAUUAAAAAGGUUUACCUAUAACCUAGACUUGAUUUUUUUUUUUUUUUUGGUGACUUUCUGGGCUUUUACAUUCUUUCGUUACCAACAAAAUAACUUUCUCAAUCACCAAAGAGUCGACUUUUUUUGUGCAGUUUAUUGAACCAGGUUCAUGAUAGAGAAUGCCUUGUUGAAGCUGUUGCUGCUGGAAUUAAUUUAUACAGACAGUUUCUUUUUCCUCGAUGUCAUUUGUUGACAAAAGAAGAGACAAGGCAAGAAGCCAUUCAAGGACUUGGAUGCAAAUCAAUAGCUUUAUUUACUCAAAUUGUAUAACAAGAAUCAUUAAGUUAUUCUUCCAAUUAUUGAUGAAAUCACUAAUUGAUUCCGACCCUGAUAAACUAAGCAAAGAAAAGAUCAAUCGCUAGGUAGAAAUGACCUACCAUCUUAAUGAAUGAGAAAACACAGCUUAACAAACAAAACAAGGAAUAAAACUUCAGCAUAAGAAAGGGCGAUACCAUUAAGCUGAGGCGCUCUUCUUCUGCUGGAAAAUGACAGCAUAGAUGGGAACAGCCACCCCGAUGCUAAAGGCUGAUAGCACCGAGAGGGACAUCUUAAGCUUCUGAUGCUUCAUCCGAUCCAAGUUGUACAUGUGCUUUGCGUGUUCAUAGAAUGGCGCAUCUCCAUGGCCAUGUGCUCCGCCCAUUCUCUUUACCCCAGUUGAGUGAAACCCACGAGACACUGAGAGAACCAGAAAAAAAACCAAGAUGAGAAAAUAAGAUCAUUUAAGUUGAGCAGUAACAGGGAAAUGAGAAAGUUCGAUCUUAUCAUUUUAAAUUGAGAAAAUGAAGUAAUAUAAUGCACCCUUUUCCAAUGUGACGACUCUAAUGUAAUUAAACGAGCCCCAUAUACUCGAAGUUAUAGCGAUAACCAAAUAGCUAGCCACUUUAAUGCUAGUGAAGAUUGAAGAAAUGUCUUUUGCAACUAAAAUUAACAUAAAAACAAAAAGAGCUAUGCUCGGAAUGAACAUAUGCUCCAGGUCCAGGUAUUAGCAGCAAAUUUCCACAAAAGAUCACGUUCCAUUGGCCACAGUAAUCAAUUUAGUAGUAUGGAUUAGCAUCAAAACUCACUAUCAAUACAACAGGAUGAAUCAUUGGGGUCCUACACGAGAGAAAGGGUAAUUAAAUAGAACAUUUCAAACAGAAAAGACAAAAAGUCCUAGCCCGCCACAAGGUAAAGGUAUGCUUAUACCAAAAAAGUACAUACCUUCCAAUUUAUAAUUUAAAAGGAGAUCAAAACAGUUUAUUUUCAGGAAUUCAGCCCAACCCCCUUCAUCCCUUAACCUAGAAACAUUACCAAUUUCGUAAAAUAUCUAAACAACACAUCACAAAAAGAAAUUAUCAAUUUACCACACCAGUCAAGAUCUUGUCUAUGAAGCAUCAUAUUUGACAUCAGAAAAUGCCAAAUUACUCUUCCGAUUAUAUAACCAACCUACUGAGUUAUUUCUCUAGAAAAGCAUUCCAAUAAGAAGAUCCUGGGUCCAGACUCUUAAUCCAGCUAUUCGUAAAUUCCCAAGGAUAAUUCCACGAGUCCUUUGGGCGUCAAGCAUGCAUGGCUUAACGCAGAAAGAAACAUCUCUUAGAUUGUAAGAUGAUGUUUAAGAAAGUACGCUAACUGUGAAAAACUUUACCUUCCUGUGUAGAUUCAACAAAAGGUUACAUAUGCAUCCAAAAUCAUCUUUCAUGAUUUCUUCAGUAAGAAGAAUGGAGAAGAUAUGUAAUUGGAACUGAACUAACAUAAAUAAUCACGGCUUAUCGUCAACAACAUAUUCCAAUGCUUUAAAUGUAAUAACUAGACCACUUACAGGGAAAUUUUGAGAAUAUUUUUUACUGUAGCAGAAUAGAAGAACAAUUGUAAUUUGGUUUACUAUUAUAUUGGACAUGAUGACUACACCACAUGAAAUACUACUUAGCAAGCAUAUUAAUACAAAACAAAUACUUCAAGCUAGUUUUUAAUCAUUAUCUAAAGUUUCGCCAAAAACUCUGAAACCAGCCAAAACAUUUCGGUUUCAGUGGGUGCCAGCACAAAACUAGGGACCAAAACAAUUGAAGCAGAAACACUUCCGCUUAGGUUAUAAGAGUUUAGAAACUUCAGAUAUUCAGUAAUCACAGAAAAUUAAAAAAAUUAAAAACUUCAUAGAUAUUGAUAAAUAUAAAUUGAAAAGGAAAAAAAAUACAUGAGAAGGAAAAAAAGAAAAAAGAAAAAGAACAAUAGACAUUGUCGUAUUAUGUCACUAAAUCCAAGUGCUUACAGUAAUCUACCAUAUAGCAAAAACCACCACAUUGCAGGUAAACGUUUGUUAUAUAUUUAAUUAGGUGUAACCAAUAAUGCCAAUUCAUACAAGCAAGGAUGAGUUGCAUCAAUAAUUAACAUAUAUCUUUUUCCUUUUUCUUUCUUUUUUUUUUUUUUGCCACUUAAUAUAUAUCCUUGAUCCUUGAUAAGAUUAACAGAAUCACUACUGUAGUUCACCACAUUCUGAGUUCUACUAAAAAUUUCUUCCAAAUCAACUCAAACCCCACUUACUAACGAUUCCAAAUAAUAAACUUGAUAAUAUUACAAUUUCAAUUCCUUAAAAUUCUACGAUUUGAGGCAUCCAAACAAGGUGAUCAUAAGAUUAUGUUCAAAUAAUAAGCCAAUGAAUCAACAGGGUAAAAAACAGAUCUUUCCAUUGCUUCUUGUGUCACUCAUAGCAACCGAUCUUAAAAAUCCAUCGAAACUAACAGGUAAAAUUUUAUAUACCUCACCAGAACACUGCCGCAUUAAACUUAGAAAUUUUUUAUCUAGUGUGUCCCAAUUAACUUUUUUAACAGGAAAAAUUCGCAUCUAAUAGACAAAAUUUCUACUAGAUGUGAUAAUCUAUAAAUCCCACCAGAAUGCAACGAAACUCUCUCAGAAUUCUCCAAAAAUCAGAAGAAAUAUAAAAUUCGGUACCAAAAAUUACAAUUCUCAGAGUUUAGACACCCAUUUCAAAAUGCACAAGGCAUUGUUACCAAACUGAUCAUACGAAAAGCAUCAACAUAACACAAGGUUCGUCGAUCUCGGACGAGACGCUUCGAUCUCGGAUUCGAUUCGAAGACGAUGCGAUCACGGAAUCGGAAAGAGAGACAGAGAGAGAAGGAGAAGGGGAUCACCGGAGCGGCAGAGAGUGGAUCGGAGGGCGGGGUUGAGCAUCGCCAUUGUCGUCGUCUUCGUCGUCGUCGUCGUCGUCGUCGUCGUCCUCGGCUUCGUUCGAUCGUUGUCGCAUCGUACACUCCGAAACGGGAUUUUAUAUCGGGUCGAGGUUUGUGGCGGGUUUCGGGUUCACCCCCGAUAUCGUAUACCGCUACGGUGUAGGCCCAAUGGGCCGAUCAUUACCUAGACCGGGCAUAAAAGUUUCGGCCCAUAAUAGUUUUGGUCCACACAACAAUUUCCUCGGAUGAUCACAAAUAUAGUCCAAUCAGAAUUCGCCACGUGUCCGUCAAACGGCCCCAGCGAAAGGUUAAUCUAGGGCCCAUCAAAGCCCAUUUUGAAUAUAUAAGAGAUAAUUACAUAUAUAUCCCUUCAAAUUGUAGAUAUGAUAUAUUACCUCCUAUAAACUUUGAAAUAUCACGUAAAUAUAUAUAUUUUGGGAAAAGUCAAAACUCACCAUCUAUAUUUUUUGGAAAAACUUCAAAAACCCCCCAUGUGGUUUCGUGUAUUCUCACUUUGCUACCCUGCGGUUUAAAACGUAUCAAUUUACCCCCCUGUGGUUUCAUUUUUAUCUUUUCGGAAGCUUUUUCGUUAAUAUUUCGUUAAAUUAUAUACAAAAAACUUCAGAUAACCAUCUAUAUUUAUCGAAUAGUCACUUUAGUAUCCUUUAAUUUUAACUUUGUCACUGAUUUAAAAAAAAAAUAAUAAUAAAAUUGAUAACAAAAAGAUAAAAACGAAACCAUAGGGGGGCAAAUUGAUACGUUUUAAACCACAGGGUAGCAAAGUGAGAAUGCACGAAACCACAGGGGGGUUUUUUGAAGUUUUCCCAUAUUUUUUUGUGUAUAAUGACUAUUUUGACCUUAUCAUGGUAAACUAAAGCUAUUUGCUUUGAAACCUAUAAUAUUUUUAGGGUAAACUUAAAAUACCACACCUGUAGUUUCAUACGUUAUCACUUUAAUAUUUUGUAGUUUAAAGUGUAUUAAUUUAGUACUAUGUGAUUUCAUUUUUUUCUUUUCGUCAGUCCUUCUAUUAACUUUUCGUUAAAUCAUAUACAAAAAACUUAAGAUACCCACCUAUAGUUAUCGAAUAUUCACUUUAAUACUCUUUAAUUUUAAUUUUGUUACUGAUUUAAUGAAAAAAAUUAGUGAAAGAGAUAACAAAAAGAGAAAAAUAAAAUUAUAGGGUAUGAAAGUGAUACAUUUUAAACCCCGGAUAUGAAAGUGAGAAGUGCGAAACCGUAGAAUGGUAUUUGAAGGUUUUUCAUAUUUUAACUUACUGGUUUAAUGAAAACUACGAAGCAAAGAAGGGUAAAAUAAUUAUUUUAACUAAAAUACAAUCAUUUUUAAACUGGUCAAUGAUUAUAUUUAUAAAUUGUUAAACUUUAGGGAAUAUAUAUACAAUAUUUUUUUAAGUUUGAUGGAAUAAAAAUGCAACAUUAUAACUUUAUAGAAAUACAUUUUUAAUUGUCCCUGUAAAUAAAAUAACAAAUAAAGUAAGUUUUGGAGACAAUGUAAGUAAAUGGAUAAGGGACAUGUUGGAUAAGAUUAUUAACAUAUUUAUUUAAAUUUGAAAAAUAUAAAAAUAUUACAAAAUGCCUAGGCAAAGAAAAAUUUGAAUUAGCUUCUGUAUUAUUAUUAUUAUUAUUAUUAUUAUUGGGUGCAAGGUGUUAGAUUUGUAAUAUUCUUCUUCAGAUUCUUUUUUGCCAUUUUCUUUGUCAUUUAUUGCUUAUAUAUGUGACAUUAACUAUAUUUUCUUUGUCUUUUAUAGUCUUAUUAUUAUCUUAUUAUUUUUAUAUUUUUUUGGGACUUUGCUGAUUUGUUCUAAACUAUACUUCUACUGUAAUCAAACUCUAUUUUUCUAUAUAAAUCUGCAAACAUAUUUUUUUAAAAAAAAUUGAAUGGUUGAUGAUUAAAUUGUUGAUUAUCGGUCAUUCUCAAAAAAAUUAAGUUUUUGAAAGCAACAAUUGUUUUAUAUUUUUUGACAUGGUACCAGAGCAAGAGAAGGUUCUAAAUUCAAAUCUCGACCAGCUCCCAGUUUCGUAUAAUUUUCUAUCAUUUAAUUUAUGCCAACUUCGUGGGAGUGAAUGUUUUGAAUAUAAAAUAUUAAAAAUAUUAUUCUGCAAAGUUUUUGCAGAUUAUUUAUAGGCUAGCAAUCUAUCAAAUACAUGAAAGGGCAUUUUUUAAACUAUGUAUGUGCACUUAUAAUAGAACUAGGCUGAAAUACUAUCAAUAACACCAAACAAUUAGUGCUAUUAGUUUUUUAGCCCUUGGAUUGAGAAAUGUGUGGUUAGGAUGACGUGGGCCGCAUAAGGUUGAGUGGGUGGUUGGUUGAAUAGUAUAAUUUAACGGGUAAAAAUAAAUAAAGAGUUAAAUCUAGUGGUGGAAAACUCGAUAGUACCAAAUCCUUGGUGCUAUUGAUAGUAUCACAGCCGGACUCCCUAUAAUAACCCUCCACAUUAUAUUUGUUAACAAUUUGAUUGUACAUAAUUGUAAAUAGGCUCCUAAAAUUUACUCUCCUUUUUUUUUAAAAAAAAACUAACACUUGGUAACCUUUCAUUUGUCUUAAUUUGGGGCAAAUAGUAAUUACUAUUAUAAACUCUGGCAAAAAUCACUAAUUAUUUAGUGAAAUAUUUAAUUCCAUCGACUACAAUAAUUUAAACUAAAGUAAAUAAAAGUGGAAAAUAAAACUUGAGCAAUACUAUCUGUAUAUCUAAAAAGAGAAUGUAAAUCUUAUAAUCUAUUUGUUCAAAUAUCAAUAUAUUUUUAGUAAUUUCAUUAAUUUUUUAAUAUUAAAAUUUGAAAAGGAAUGUCUAAAUUCUUAGAUAGAUAGAGCAAUAUUACUUGCACCCAAUAUUUAAUUUGCUCAUAUAGUGUUUUAUUUUGUGCUAAUUUUUAUAGAGCAAUGUUACCUGUACACCUAUUUAUGCGAUAUAAAUUUUUUGCCUCACUCAUUCAAAGAAUAUUCAAUACCUACUAGUCUUAACAUCUUUGUUUCUUUUUUUUUUUUUAAUACUAAAAACUUAAAAGGGAUUUAUAAAUCUAUUAACGCAUCUUUUUCACACCGAAAUAUAAGACGAAUUCAGAGAGAUUUCGCCAACAAAACCAUAGGAUAAGUCGCAAAUCUAGGAUUAAAAAAACUUAUAAAUUUUCAAUAAUAAUAAUAACUAGUGUAGGGACUCGCGUGAUGCGGCGGACAAAAAUAUUUUAGUAAAAAUUUACAGAUUUAAUAAACAGAUAAAAAUGUGAAAAAAUUUAAUAAUAUGAAAAACACAAAAAAAAACUUUUAGAACGAAAUUACAAUCUAAUGGAAACAAUGUAAGAAAAAAAAAAAAAGAAGAAGUAUAAGAGUAAGAAAAAUAAUUAUAUAAAUAGCCUAAAAAGAUAUUUAGAAUGUCGUGAAAAAAUUAUAACAAAUAAUAAAUGAUUAACUGAAGAGGCUAAAAUUUAUAUUUAACUAAUCAUAUAAAGAUUUAUCUGUCCUAUUCUCUUUCUUAACUCAAAUCAGAUUUCUCUUAAACAUCAACUAUUACUGCGUUUACCUAUGAACAUCAAAAUUUUAAUGCCACAAUAGAAUUAGUACAAAAUGCAAAGGAACUGAAGAAAUAGCAAGGAAUAUAUGACGGCCAUGAAAAUAAAUUUUAAAAGUAAUAAUAGUUAGUUUUAACUAUCUAAAUUGUAAAGACCCAUUUUCAUACAUCCAUAAACCAAACAAUCUAUAUAUUAUAUUAGCUUGUUGAUGCAACAGGAUAAUUUAAUCAGUGUUCUUAUUAAUUUUACUUUGUCAAUUUUUAUGUAACUCAAAUAACUUAAUUAUAAAUAAUAGUGUACAAUAAAGAAAAAACUUAAAGAAUAAAUCUUUCUUUCUUUAUCACUUAUUAUGAGGCAACGCUUCGUAAAAAGUAGAAAUUAAUAAUGCAGGAAAUCAAAGAGGUAACGAUUUUACGGGGGAGAUGAAUAGGCACACUAUGGAGAAGCGAACAAAGAGCGAAGUGAUUGGAGCAUAACAUUUAAUAAGGGGGAAGCCGAAGAGGCAAUGAUGUUACAGGAAAUGCGAGCGGACACACUGUGGUGGAGCCGACGAAGUGCAAAGCGAUUGAAGAGUAGAAAUCGGAAAAGAAAGAGACUCUAGAGGUGGGUCCCAUGGGCAAAACUUAAGGAGAUCAUGCCAUGUGGACUAAGAUUAUGGAGAUUAAUAGUGUUUUAUAGAUAAUAACAGAAAACUAAUACAUCUAGCUUUUAGGUGUAGAGGUGGCAUUGGUCUUUAUACAUUUAGAAUUAAUGUCAACCAUCAAAAUCAUUAAUCUACUUGCCAAAGUGCAAAAUGAUAUGUCAUGUGAUGGAGAUGUUAUUAGAGGAGAUUCAACAAUAAAGUUUAGGGCAAUGUGAUAAUCCUAUAUAUGAUUUAAAUCCUUUUUGAGCAUUUGGAUAAUGUUUGUGUACUUGGAUAAUGACAACUCAAACAUAUAUAUAUAUAUAUACAACUAGUGAACUAUUGUUUGUUGAUUGGUUAUACUAUAUCAUGAAUAUUUCCUUUUUAUUCCAAUGAUUAAAGUAACAAAUAAUUAUAAAAUAUUAAGAUAACUUGCACCAAUAGUCCCAAAAUAAACUUUUAGAUAAGUCUCAUUCUAGUCCUCAAAUUUUCAACUUUAACAUUCGAAACUCUAGUCUCGUGAAAAUAUUUCAUUUCAAUUCAGUUCUUGUUCUAGUAUUUUUUCCACUGGUAAGAAAAAAAAAUUAACAAAUUAUCGACAGAGAAAUACAAUUGUACGCUCGAGAGUGGGAGUAUAAAUUUUGAACUCACCUAUCCAAAGAUUCAGAAACACUUUUUAGAAUUUUAAUAGUAUUAAAGAAAUAUUGGUAAUAUUGAUGUAAAAUUAUGAGUAAUUAAUUUGAUUGAUUAUGUAGGAUAAAAUUUCUAAUUUAAUAAACAAAAUUCAGUAAUAAAAUAAAGGAUAUUG